UACGUAGGGUGCAAGCGUUUAAUCGGAAUUACUGGGCGUAAAGCGUGCGCAGGCGGUUUUGUAAGUCUGUCGUGAAAUCCCCGGGCUCAACCUGGGAAUUGCGAUGGAGACUGCAAGGCUAGAAUCUGGCAGAGGGGGGGUAGAAUUCCACGUGUAGCAGUGAAAUGCGUAGAGAUGUGGAGGAACACCGGUGGCGAAGGCGGCCAACUGGUCCGGAUCUGACGCUGAGGCGCGAAAGCGUGGGGAGCAAACAGG
rnacentral:rRNA from 1 species